rnacentral:rRNA from 1 species
CCUGGCUCAGAUUGAACGCUGGCGGCAGGCCUAACACAUGCAAGUCGAGCGGUAGCACAGAGAGCUUGCUCUCGGGUGACGAGCGGCGGACGGGUGAGUAAUGUCUGGGAAACUGCCUGAUGGAGGGGGAUAACUACUGGAAACGGUAGCUAAUACCGCAUAAUGUCGCAAGACCAAAGUGGGGGACCUUCGGGCCUCAUGCCAUCAGAUGUGCCCAGAUGGGAUUAGCUAGUAGGUGGGGUAACGGCUCACCUAGGCGACGAUCCCUAGCUGGUCUGAGAGGAUGACCAGCCACACUGGAACUGAGACACGGUCCAGACUCCUACGGGAGGCAGCAGUGGGGAAUAUUGCACAAUGGGCGCAAGCCUGAUGCAGCCAUGCCGCGUGUGUGAAGAAGGCCUUCGGGUUGUAAAGCACUUUCAGCGGGGAGGAAGGCGAUAAGGUUAAUAACCUUGUCGAUUGACGUUACCCGCAGAAGAAGCACCGGCUAACUCCGUGCCAGCAGCCGCGGUAAUACGGAGGGUGCAAGCGUUAAUCGGAAUUACUGGGCGUAAAGCGCACGCAGGCGGUCUGUCAAGUCGGAUGUGAAAUCCCCGGGCUCAACCUGGGAACUGCAUUCGAAACUGGCAGGCUAGAGUCUUGUAGAGGGGGGUAGAAUUCCAGGUGUAGCGGUGAAAUGCGUAGAGAUCUGGAGGAAUACCGGUGGCGAAGGCGGCCCCCUGGACAAAGACUGACGCUCAGGUGCGAAAGCGUGGGGAGCAAACAGGAUUAGAUACCCUGGUAGUCCACGCCGUAAACGAUGUCGAUUUGGAGGUUGUGCCCUUGAGGCGUGGCUUCCGGAGCUAACGCGUUAAAUCGACCGCCUGGGGAGUACGGCCGCAAGGUUAAAACUCAAAUGAAUUGACGGGGGCCCGCACAAGCGGUGGAGCAUGUGGUUUAAUUCGAUGCAACGCGAAGAACCUUACCUGGUCUUGACAUCCACAGAACUUUCCAGAGAUGGAUUGGUGCCUUCGGGAACUGUGAGACAGGUGCUGCAUGGCUGUCGUCAGCUCGUGUUGUGAAAUGUUGGGUUAAGUCCCGCAACGAGCGCAACCCUUAUCCUUUGUUGCCAGCGGUUAGGCCGGGAACUCAAAGGAGACUGCCAGUGAUAAACUGGAGGAAGGUGGGGAUGACGUCAAGUCAUCAUGGCCCUUACGACCAGGGCUACACACGUGCUACAAUGGCAUAUACAAAGAGAAGCGACCUCGCGAGAGCAAGCGGACCUCAUAAAGUAUGUCGUAGUCCGGAUUGGAGUCUGCAACUCGACUCCAUGAAGUCGGAAUCGCUAGUAAUCGUAGAUCAGAAUGCUACGGUGAAUACGUUCCCGGGCCUUGUACACACCGCCCGUCACACCAUGGGAGUGGGUUGCAAAAGAAGUAGGUAGCUUAACCUUCGGGAGGGCGCUUACCACUUUGUGAUUCAUGACUGGGGUGAAGUC